rnacentral:rRNA from 1 species
CCUACGGGAGGCAGCAGUGGGGAAUAUUGCACAAUGGGCGCAAGCCUGAUGCAGCGACGCCGCGUGAGGGAUGACGGCCUUCGGGUUGUAAACCUCUUUCAGCAGGGACGAAGCGCAAGUGACGGUACCUGCAGAAGAAGCACCGGCCAACUACGUGCCAGCAGCCGCGGUAAUACGUAGGGUGCAAGCGUUGUCCGGAAUUACUGGGCGUAAAGAGCUCGUAGGCGGUUUGUCGCGUCGUCUGUGAAAACCAGCAGCUCAACUGUUGGCUUGCAGGCGAUACGGGCAGACUUGAGUAUUUCAGGGGAGACUGGAAUUCCUGGUGUAGCGGUGAAAUGCGCAGAUAUCAGGAGGAACACCGGUGGCGAAGGCGGGUCUCUGGGAAAUAACUGACGCUGAGGAGCGAAAGCGUGGGUAGCGAACAGGAUUAGAUACCCUGGUAGUCCACGCCGUAAACGGUGGGCGCUAGGUGUGGGUUUCCUUCCACGGGAUCCGUGCCGUAGCUAACGCAUUAAGCGCCCCGCCUGGGGAGUACGGCCGCAAGGCUAAAACUCAAAAGNGAAGUUGACGGCGUGAGACGUCGACGACGACGACGACGAGGGAGGAGG